GGUGCCCCGCGGACCUCGUGCCCAGCCUGUGUCCGAGUGACGCCAGGGAGGCCGCUCCUCAGUGCUUAAGACAUUCAGAGGACACUAGAAAAGGAGAAAGGCCAAGUUCUGUAGCUGUCAAUGGAAAACUGUCACCUGCCAGAACAGUAAACAAUGGAUGUUACAGUCAUCAAGCCACUACAGACACUCCAGCGGGGCACCCUGAGGGGACUCAGGAGGAGAAAGCACCAGACACUGGCCCCAGAUGGCUGAGGGGCACAACAAAGGAAUGACUUCCGUGAGCCAGACUCUUGCAUCUUCCUUUACACAGAAAAGUGCAAAAUUCCUUACUCUGAGAUGUUCGGUUUUCUUAACAGUAAUCCCUUGAUGUUCUAACUACCUGGUCUUUGUUGCAAAAACUCCUGUGUGUCCUGGCUCCUCCCUUACCUCUCUGGGGCAGUUCUUUAGGGUAGCUGUCCCCAACCAUUUUGGUCCCAGUGACUGGUU
rnacentral:lncRNA from 1 species